CCUACGGGUGGCAGCAGUGGGGAAUAUUGCGCAAUGGGCGAAAGCCUGACCCAGCAACGCCGCGUGAAGGAAGAAGGCUUUCGGGUUGUAAACUUCUUUUGACAGGGAAGAGCAGAAGACGGUACCUGUCUUAUACGCCACGGCUAACUGCGUGCCAGCAGCCGCGGUAAUACGUAGGUGGCAAGCUGUGUCCGGAUUUACUGGGUGUAAAGGGCGUGUAGCCGGGCUGACAAGUCAGAUGUGAAAUCCGGGGGCUCAACCCCGGAACUGCAUUUGAAACUGUUAGUCGUGAGUAUCGGAGAGGCAGGCGGAAUUCAUGGUGUAGGGGUGAAAUGCGUAGAAAUUAGGAGGAAAACCAGGGGCGAAGGCGGCCUGCGGGAAGACAACUGACGGUGAGGCGCGAAAGCGUGGGGAGCAAACAGGAUUAGAUACCCGAGUAGUC
rnacentral:rRNA from 1 species